CAAUAGCGUAUAUUAACGUUGUUGCAGUUAAAAAGCUCGUAGUUGGAUUUCUGGAGGGAGCGUCGGCCCGUAUUUACGAGUGCGUGACGUCUCUGUCCAUCCUUGCGGGAAGGCACGGCAUUGAUUUGUUGUGUCGGAUCGCAUCAUUUACUGUGAAAAAAUUAGAGUGUUCAAAGCAGGCUUUCGCUUGAAUACAUUAGCAUGGAAUAAUAAGAUAGGACUUUGGUGCUAUUUUGUUGGUUGAGCCUAAAGUAAUGAUUAAUAGGGAUAGUUGGGGGCACCUGUAUUGCGUUGUCAGAGGUGAAAUUCUUGGAUUUACGCAAGACAAACAGCUGCGAANGNGUCUGGNAAGGAUGUUCNCAUUA
rnacentral:rRNA from 1 species